rnacentral:tRNA from 1 species
GGCCGGAUGGCGGAAUUGGCAGACGCACAGGACUUAAAAUCCUGUGAUCCUUACGGAUCGUGCGGGUUCGACCCCCGCUCCGGCUA